AGAAUCAACGCUGGCGGCGUGCCUCAGACAUGCAAGUCGUACGAUUAAAGCUCUCUUCGGAGAGUGCAUAAAGUGGCGUACGGGUGAGUAACACGUAAGUAAUCUACCUUUGAGUGGGGAAUAACAGUCGGAAACGACUGCUAAUACCGCAUAAUGCAGCGGCUCGACAUCGAGACAGUUGUUAAAAGAAUUUUAUUCGCUUAAAGAGGAGCUUGCGGCAGAUUAGCUAGUUGGUAAGGUAAUGGCUUACCAAGGCAACGAUCUGUA
rnacentral:rRNA from 1 species